CCAGCAGCUGCGGUAAUUCCGGCUCCAAUACCGUAUAUUAAAGUUGUUGCAGUUAAAAAGCUCGUAGUUGGAUUUGUGGUCUGUCCUGGGGGUGGCUCGGCUUCUGCCUUGCCCUACCAUCCAGGUCGGCCAUGUUUUGGGAUGGAUCCUGUGUGGCAUUAGGUUGUCGCGCAGGGCGCGCCCAUCGUUUACUGUGAAAAAAUUAGAGUGUUCAAAGCAGGCUUAUGCCGUUGAAUAUAUUAGCAUGGAAUAAUGAUAUAGGACCUUGGUACUAUUUUGUUGGUUUGCGCACUGAGGUAAUGAUUAAUAGGCACAGUUGGGGGUAUUCGUAUUCCAUUGUCAGAGGUGAAAUUCUUGGAUUUUUGGAAGACGAACUACUGCGAAAGCAUUUACCAAGGAUGUUUUCA
rnacentral:rRNA from 1 species